UUUUAAUACAUGAAAACAACAAUUGAAUUUUCUUUUAUUCAAACGCAUACCGUUCAAGGACAAGGUCUAAUAUAUGGAAACAUUAUUGAAUCAACUACCAAUUAAAUUACUUAGAACCCACUGGUUCAUCCAAAUUUUGCUAUCAACUGCCUCUCAAUAUCAAAACUUGCUAAUAUCCUUAAAAUUUUACAGCCUUUACUGGAGUAAUAUCUAUAGCAGUGAGGUUCGGAGUUUGAACCCAAUGGGAACAAGUAAACAAAAAUUUUUUUCUCUUUCCUGAUGUAUACUUCUUGCACUGGCCCUGUAUCACUGAUGCCUUGGCAGAAAACCAUAGCAUCUAUGAAUAACUUAGUAAUCUAAUGAGAAUGCUUACCCUAUAACCAAUAUCGCUGGCCUGUAGUGCACAAACAGUGAAAUUUUAACACCAAAUGGCAGAAAUCUGUCUCAAGAAUUAUGUAUUUUCUUAUCGGUUGCCAUGUAGCCAUCGAGAAAGUAGUGCACAGCAUAACUAAUCGUCAACCAGAGCCACGCUUUGAUCUCCGGCGUUUCCCCAGAAGUUUUAACAUGUUGUCUGUGACAUCGGGUGGGGAAUUGUCGUGCUCAUCUUGAUUGUUCUCAGAGGUGUGAGUCAACCAGGCCAGUGCUUCUAUAGCAGCAUCCCUCUCUGCCAGUUGUUUGUUUUUCUUUGGUUUACCCACAAAUUGCAUUCCCUUGAAUUCAACCAGUGCCCUAAACUCAUUUGUCUUGAGGUGUUUUGUUUUGUAUUUUGGAGGGGAGUGCCCAGCUCUCAUCAAAAGAGUUUGUAGCAAGCUUUUAGGAUUUGUUCCAUCUUUCGUAAAUCUACUGUUUUCCCUUGACUCCUUAGGCUUCUUGCUUUCACGUCCAAAGACGAACCUUCCUUCACAUUGAUCUCCUGAAACCAGCUCUUGAACAGCAAGCAAGAGGUAUUUCCCUUCCUUGUGAAUGUCGAGGGUAGGAUCUUGAAGCUUCUCUUGAAUCAGCUUAUCAAAUUCUUCCUUAAGCUUCAAAUAGCACUCUGCCAAACUAGGAUCCAUGAAGAAAUCAAUAUACCCAUCUAACAUUUUCAGAUGGCCAGCCUGCACACCACAACUAAGAGCACCACCAAAAAGGAUCAAUAUUGAAUCAGAUACACCAGUGGAAUCGCGAAUGAAAACUGUAUUGACCUUAACUUUUUCACCAAAGACCAGCCAUGGGUAAGGAAUAGUCUGAUAGCGCGCAUUCACAGAAUUUGCAUAUAAUAGAACUUGGCCAUCAUCCAUCGUCUUGAAAGACAUGGAUGUUUCUCUGUGCACUACUGAUGCUAUGCCAGGAUAGAGGCCAGAGCAUACGAUUGCUCGAACCAAUGACUGGUUGUGACUUAAUCUGUUGUUGGUUCCUGCAUCAGCAUCUAUUAACUCAGCAUCUCUUAAAAUGAAGCUGAACUGCUUCCUCAGAGAAUGAAUGGCUUGUAGAGUUUGUGCAGAGAGGAAAUUUCUCCAGCAAUACUCAUAUGCUGACCCUUCUCGUUCUGCAUCUUUCCAUCCUUCAUAUGCACGUACAAGAGCCAUGUGAUCACUAUAGUCUUUUGCUGAAAAUCUAGAUUUUGCUGUCCCAGCUAAAUCUUUUUUGUCUUGAGGAAGAAGGAAAGGAUCCCUGACACUAAGACCGGAUACUAUCGUUAAUACAGGGUCAAAGCAACGAAAGAUAGCACCCAUGAUUAGCAUUUUCCCAAGCUUGGGAUCUACUGGAAGCAUUGACAAGUACUUCCCAAGAUUAGUCAGAAUCUCCUUCUCAUUUAAUGCACCGAUCAUCUUCAGAAAAUCAAUGGCAUUUUGGACAGCCAAUGGUUCUGGAGGCUGGAGUGCUGCUGACAAAAAUUCUGCUAUACUUCCAACCUGCAAACUUUUUAUUUGCAAGCAAAGAGAGUUUAAGGGAGUUCUCAGAAGUUCAGGAAGUUGAUAUUCAGCAAAAGCUUCAUAGACACAUUUGGGGUAGAGGUGAUAGCAUUCACCUGGCUGCACGCGGCCAGCCCUGCCUCUUCUUUGCCGCGCUGAAGCUUGUGAUAUCCAUGAGGGCAGCAGACAAGGUGUAUUGUUCAAAGCAUCAUAUGUGGUCUCUUUAGCUUUUCCGCAAUCCACCACAAAAACUAUGUCAUUGAUUGUAAUACUCGCCUCUGCCAUAUUAGUUGCAAGAACUAUUUUACGUACAUCAGGAGAAGGUCUCUCAAAUAUAAGUUUCUGUUCAGAGGUUGCCAUAGAACCAUGGCAUGUUAAAAGCAAAACCCUGUUAGGAUCACCCAAAAGAGGAUGAGCUUUAAGUUGAUCCCUUAAACAGCUAAUAUCCUCCCAGCCAGUCAUGAAUACCAAGACAGCACCAGGUCCUUCCUUCCGACAUAUAUGGCACAAAACUGCCUCAAUAAGGUUAAAUCCUAUGCAAUCAGGCAUCCAGCUCGCUAGAGAAUCACGUACCCUGGAGCUAUAAUUCUCAAAGCUCGAUUUAUUAAGAGCAUCCUCAACAAGAGCCGCAAUCUGGUUUUUCCUUUUUCUUGGUGCAAGUUGCCUUUGUGUUUUCCACAUUUUCUCUUGGCCAUAGUCAUCAAUUUGAUUAAAAGAAGUCAACUUAUAUCCCGUCAUUUCCAGCACAUCUUCUAAAAAGAGUGCACUUACAGGAUAUGUAAAACCUGGAAUAUGAAUUUUUGGUGCUCCACCAAAAUAGUUGGAGAAGAGUUCCGCAUUCAAAGUGGCACUCAUUAAAAUCAAUCUUAAGUCCUGACGGCGUGGAAGAAGAUCCUUGAGCACAAUCAAUAGGAAGUCUUCAUUCAUGCCACGCUCAUGAAUUUCAUCAACGAAAACAUGGGUUAUUCCAUCCAAGUUUCUGUCACUUAGCAGUCGUCUAAGUAAAAUUCCACUGGUACAAAAAAGCAGAUGGGUGUUUUUUCCUUUCAUGCCCUCUAGUCGAACUUUAUAACCAACCUAACAAAAAAUUAUCGUUUCACCAAGAGGCUCUCCUCUCUCUGCAGAUACUCUAUCUGCAACAGCCAUAGCAGAUAUUCUUCGAGGCUGUGUGCAAAUUAUACUGCAGAAUGCUCCGCGCCCAGAUUCAAUUUCUGACUCCAAUAUAUACUGAGGAAGUUGAGUUGUUUUACCACAUCCAGUCUCCCCAGAUACAACUAUGACCUGAUUCCUUGCUAUUGCUUGGAGCAGUUUUUCUUUUUCCUUGAAUGCAGGUAGAGAUUUCCGGAAUUCCAUCAUCUUCUUGCCUUCAGGUGAUUCCUGCCAAGCUCUUUGCAUAUUACGCAUUCGCAAACUCCUUCUCUGAAGAACCUUUUCCAUAACAGACCCAUCCAGAAAAGAAUCUGGAUUUUCAUCCAGACUAAAAUCUUCAACCUGGUCAAUAGACUUAGCAUCAUCUGCACGGUCACCAGCUUCUCCCGAAAUUAGCCGAGUUCUAUCAAGAUGUUCCUGUAGUAAACUCUCUACCCUCCUUUGUAAGCUUAGCGGGAUUACCACCUCCCUUUGGGGCCGCUUGUCAUCCAAAUCUGGCCUAUAGUUAGGAAGAGGAACCUUGCUUGCAACCACCACUUUUCCAUACAUUUCACUGUAUAGUCCCAUCCUUGUGGCAAGGUUCAAAAUCUGCUCAUAGUCCCUCCUGUCCUUUCUAUCUCUAGACACAAUCUCUUGGUCAGUUUCACUGCGCAAUAGCAAGCUGAGCUUCCAUUUCCACUCAUCAACAUUGGCCACCGAAGAUGCCUUAUGGGUCUCAAAAUCGCACUCAUACUCAUCAUCGGAGAACUGCUCAACAGCAUAGCCGGAGAAAGGGUGAGUCAAAAUGGAAGAACGAGGGAGAGACAAAACCAAAGCAAACAAAUUGGCGGGGGGAUGGCAGCUUGAUGAGUGAAUUAUGCUUUUGCUGGAUACAGACUUGGCGCAUCCCACAAGGAAACCUCUUAACUUGGAAUUCCGCAUUCUAGCAUAAAACAUAGCCUCAAUUGAAUGCCUAAAUAAGCUGACUCAUUAUAAACAACAGACUCUUCGCCCAAAUAAAAAAAUCUUUUACAAACACCGGAUUCUGCUCUUUCUCUCAGUCUCUCCACCUCUCCCUUUCUCCUUCUCUCCUCUCUCACCCUUCUUACUCUCUCUCCCUCUCUCUCAGUCCCCUGCUCUCCUUCUCUCACCAACAAUCGUUUGCAUCUCUUCUAGGGGUGUGCAAUCCGUAGGUUCAGUUUCAAACCGAACUGAAUUAACUGAAAAACAGAAAUAUAAAAUUACAAGGACCGAACCAAAUGAUAGAUAAAACUGAAUCGAACUGAUUUUCAGUUCGGCUCAGUGCGUUCAUCAGUUUUGCUAUUAAAAAAUGCAGAAGCAAUACAAGCCAAUGCCUCA
rnacentral:misc_RNA from 1 species